rnacentral:rRNA from 1 species
CCCGAGCGUUAUCCGGAUUUAUUGGGCGUAAAGCGAGCGCAGACCGGUUGAUUAAGUCUGAUGUGAAAGCCCGGAGCUCAACUCCGGAAAUGGCAUUGGAAAACUGGUUAACUUGAGUGCAGUAGAGGUAAGUGGAACUCCAUGUGUAGCGGUGGAAUGCGUAGAUAUAUGGAAGAACACCAGUGGCGAAGGCGGCUUACUGGACUGUAACUGACGUUGAGGCUCGAAAGUGUGGGUAGCAAACAGGAUUAGAUACCCUGGUAGUCCACACCGUAAACGAUGAACACUAGGUGUUAGGAGGUUUCCGCCUCUUAGUGCCGAAGCUAACGCAUUAAGUGUUCCGCCUGGGGAGUACGACCGCAAGGUUGAAACUCAAAGGAAUUGACGGGGACCCGCACAAGCGGUGGAGCAUGUGGUUUAAUUCGAAGCAACGCGAAGAACCUUACCAGGUCUUGACAUCCUUUGAAGCUUUUAGAGAUAGAAGUGUUCUCUUCGGAGACAAAGUGACAGGUGGUGCAUGGUCGUCGUCAGCUCGUGUCGUGAGAUGUUGGGUUAAGUCCCGCAACGAGCGCAACCCUUAUUGUUAGUUGCCAGCAUUCAGAUGGGCACUCUAGCGAGACUGCCGGUGACAAACCGGAGGAAGGCGGGGACGACGUCAGAUCAUCAUGCCCCUUAUGACCUGGGCUACACACGUGCUACAAUGGCGUAUACAACGAGUUGCCAACCCGCGAGGGUGAGCUAAUCUCUUAAAGUACGUCUCAGUUCGGAUUGUAGUCUGCAACUCGACUACAUGAAGUCGGAAUCGCUAGUAAUCGCGGAUCAGCACGCCGCGGUGAAUACGUUCCCGGGUCUUGUACACACCGCCCGUCACACCAUGGGAGUUUGUAAUGCCCAAAGCCGGUGGCCUAACCUUUAGGAAGGAGCCGUCUAAGCAGGAACAGAGGUUGAAA